rnacentral:lncRNA from 1 species
ACCAGAGGUGGGGUUGCUCCGGCAAGACCCUCCGACGCUCAAGUCAGUUCUCUGCCUCAACAAGAAUGGAGUGCUCGAACAGAGAAUUUAGCAGAGUUUUGAGAUAAGAAAUGAGCUUAGAGAAUAACGUAUCUGGGUCCCCCUUUUAUAAGCGGAGGAGGCAACGGAUUGAUGGCGACAUUUGUAACCGUCUGGUAGUGGGCCGCCCAUGGUCAGGGAAAUUUAUUGCGAAGGGUAGUGGAGUAGACCCGUGGCUAUUGUCAUGGCCUGCCACGUAGAGCCAGUUGCAGGUAGUGGAGCGGCGUCCGUCGCCGUUAGUUGUCAGGGAGUAGUGGAGUCGC